AUUACCAGUCUAGGAGAAAGAAGAAAAAAAAGCUAGUGCUGGAAUACCUCAAAAUGCCAUAAUCAUUAAUUAAAUCUGACUGGAAUGAGUAAUGCAAUAUCUUGCCUAGAUUUUACAUUUGACAUGGGCUGCUUAAAGUAACAUAUUCUCCAGUAUAGAUGGACAUAAACAAUGUGUGUGUGUUAGAAAAUAUAUAUAUAUCAUAAAACAAACAAACAAACAAACAAACAAAAAAAUAAAACACAAAAGACUUUCAAGGAAAACAUAGUUUUCUAAAAUUUGUAGGUUCUCCAGUUCUCAUGGUUUGAGAGACAUUGUUUAAAGUAAUUGCAGUGACUCUUGGUAUAAAUUUAUUUGAUACCUUCAGUUCUUGUCAACCUGCUGCAACAAAUACAUGCAGUCUUCUACCCACACAAAGCCAGCCCACCCAACCAAACACAUUCAAAUUGAGUAAAACUUUUCUUGAACACAUGUAAAAUAUGUUUAUAUGUAAAAUAUGUCCAAGAAAAGAUACCUUCUCUCUUUCAGCAUAUUUUACAUGUGUUCAAGAAAUGUACAUAUUCCAGUGCUUUAUUUGAAAUUAUGCUUUGUUUAAAAAUGUACUUCAAUUAUUACCUUUAAUAUACCAUUAAGUAUUCAGAGUGAAGCAAACUGUUGCAUUUGACCUGAUUUCCUUUCUUUUUUAGAGUACAAACAACAUAGUCUGUUACUUGUACUACUUUGCAGAUGACUAUUAGACAUCUAAAGUUUUUGCAAAGCGAAAAUUCUAGUUUAAGUGUUUGUAUUAUGUUUUGUUUUCUCUAACUUCCACUUAUAGUAAAUAAUUCCCAGUGUGCAAUGCAUAUACGGGAAACAAGAAAAGAAAACCUUCAGUCCAGGUCAAGAGAAAAGUGGACCAAUGAAAAGAUAUUUGACCUUAUAUGACCCAUUUUUUUACUGAAUUUUCAGCCUCCUCUCAAGCUGCAGUGCAUGUCUCUGAAUUGAGGAAGAUAAGAGAGUUGUAUAUUGUCCUGAAGGAUGUGCUAAGGACAUAUAAUGCUCCAGGCAUGAACACUGAACACAAGGUUUUUGCUUCUUAUAGGGACAAGAUGAAGAGACAUUUUCCUGAAUAAAUGUCCAAUUGUCCAAUUCUGCUUUGGACCUUCUUUAAAAAAUAAAUAAA
rnacentral:lncRNA from 1 species